UGGGGAAUAUUGCACAAUGGGGGAAACCCUGAUGCAGCAACGCCGCGUGAGUGAAGAAGUAUUUCGGUAUGUAAAGCUCUAUCAGCAGGGAAGAAAGUGACGGUACCUGACUAAGAAGCCCCGGCUAACUACGUGCCAGCAGCCGCGGUAAUACGUAGGGGGCAAGCGUUAUCCGGAUUUACUGGGUGUAAAGGGAGCGUAGACGGCACAGCAAGUCUGAAGUGAAAUCCCCGGGCUCAACCCGGGAACUGCUUUGGAAACUGUUGGGCUGGAGUGUUGGAGAGGCAAGCGGAAUUCCUAGUGUAGCGGUGAAAUGCGUAGAUAUUAGGAGGAACACCAGUGGCGAAGGCGGCUUGCUGGACAAUCACUGACGUUGAGGCUCGAAAGCGUGGGGAGCAAACAGGAUUAGAUACCC
rnacentral:rRNA from 1 species